rnacentral:tmRNA from 1 species
GGGGCGGAUCUAGGAUUCGACAAGAUUCACGAAACUCAAGGUGCAUGCCCAGGGGCGGUUUGCCUGGUAAAAAGCCGCAAAACUAUAAUUGCUAACGACGAUACGUUCGCACUAGCCGCUUAGGCUAGCCAUCACCUUGAAAUCUCACCUAUUGGUUAGAGGAUUGAUGGUCACCCCAAAUAGGUUAGCGAGG